UGUCACAGUUAGCGAGAUGGACGGUCAAACAUAAAGGCCUCUGACAGAGAUUGGGUGCCUUAGUUCAAACCGGGGGACACCUUUAGAGGCCCUCCGUUCUGCACCCAGAUGCUGAAAUGUGAACCGCAGUGUUACAUCGCGGGCAGCAGCACAGGGAGGCCAAAAGUGACACGCAAUGCCAGUCAGGUGACAGCAUGUCCAGGGAGAUCAACUACCGCCUGGCUUGACAUUUCUAAGAGCACUUUGAUCAGAAAGUAUACAUGCAAGGCUACUGUUGGUCUCUUUACUCACGCACAAUGGUGAACACUAGUGAGCUGUGAACAGACAGUUGUGUCAAAAAAAUUUGAGAAGAAAGGAAGCAUUACGGAUCCGACGGAAAAAGGCGGCUAAUGGCUGUGGUCGGCCUGUCUGCUUGAAUUUACAGUGACAGCCCUGGCCCUAUUUGUUUGCAUUGGUGCUUCAGUGGGCACACUUCGUUGUGGCUUCAGCAGUUAAUAAAUCACAGUGGAAGCCCCCUCUCUCGACGCCGGCCUGUGCUACGGUGGUCCUGUCACAAGGCAGGCACCAGCGCUGAAGCGACAGCUACAUGCUAAUUCAACAUCGGCAUAAUUCAUUAUACAGUCGCAAGUGUACUGGAAUGGAAAGAGAACCAACAUACACCAGGAGGAAGACGACAGGCAUCAAACUGUUAAAUCCUGCUCCCCUUAAGUCCCCUCUGUUUGCCUUUGUAAAGUCUUUAAACUCCUGCCAGCAAUAUAAAAUUAUACCACAUAUUAUCUAUGCACAGAAAAAGCUUUGGGAUGUGUAAAGAAUAAAAUAUUAUUUUUUACUGCAGUUA